GACGAACUCUGGUAUUGAUUGGUGCUUGCAUCAUGAUUUACAUUUGAGUGAGUGGCGAACUGGUGAGUAACACGUGGGAAACCUGCCCAGAAGCGGGGGAUAACACCUGGAAACAGAUGCUAAUACCGCAUAACAACUUGGACCGCAUGGUCCGAGCUUGAAAGAUGGCUUCGGCUAUCACUUUUGGAUGGUCCCGCGGCGUAUUAGCUAGAUGGUGGGGUAACGGCUCACCAUGGCAAUGAUACGUAGCCGACCUGAGAGGGUAAUCGGCCACAUUGGGACUGAGACACGGCCCAAACUCCUACGGGAGGCAGCAGUAGGGAAUCUUCCACAAUGGACGAAAGUCUGAUGGAGCAACGCCGCGUGAGUGAAGAAGGGUUUCGGCUCGUAAAACUCUGUUGUUAAAGAAGAACAUAUCUGAGAGUAACUGUUCAGGUAUUGACGGUAUUUAACCAGAAAGCCACGGCUAACUACGUGCCAGCAGCCGCGGUAAUACGUAGGUGGCAAGCGUUGUCCGGAUUUAUUGGGCGUAAAGCGAGCGCAGGCGGUUUUUUAAGUCUGAUGUGAAAGCCUUCGGCUCAACCGAAGAAGUGCAUCGGAAACUGGGAAACUUGAGUGCAGAAGAGGACAGUGGAACUCCAUGUGUAGCGGUGAAAUGCGUAGAUAUAUGGAAGAACACCAGUGGCGAAGGCGGCUGUCUGGUCUGUAACUGACGCUGAGGCUCGAAAGUAUGGGUAGCAAACAGGAUUAGAUACCCUGGUAGUCCAUACCGUAAACGAUGAAUGCUAAGUGUUGGAGGGUUUCCGCCCUUCAGUGCUGCAGCUAACGCAUUAAGCAUUCCGCCUGGGGAGUACGGCCGCAAGGCUGAAACUCAAAGGAAUUGACGGGGGCCCGCACAAGCGGUGGAGCAUGUGGUUUAAUUCGAAGCUACGCGAAGAACCUUACCAGGUCUUGACAUACUAUGCAAAUCUAAGAGAUUAGACGUUCCCUUCGGGGACAUGGAUACAGGUGGUGCAUGGUUGUCGUCAGCUCGUGUCGUGAGAUGUUGGGUUAAGUCCCGCAACGAGCGCAACCCUUAUUAUCAGUUGCCAGCAUUAAGUUGGGCACUCUGGUGAGACUGCCGGUGACAAACCGGAGGAAGGUGGGGAUGACGUCAAAUCAUCAUGCCCCUUAUGACCUGGGCUACACACGUGCUACAAUGGAUGGUACAACGAGUUGCGAACUCGCGAGAGUAAGCUAAUCUCUUAAAGCCAUUCUCAGUUCGGAUUGUAGGCUGCAACUCGCCUACAUGAAGUCGGAAUCGCUAGUAAUCGCGGAUCAGCAUGCCGCGGUGAAUACGUUCCCGGGCCUUGUACACACCGCCCGUCACACCAUGAGAGUUUGUAACACCCAAAGUCGGUGG
rnacentral:rRNA from 2 species